rnacentral:rRNA from 1 species
UACAGAGGUCUCAAGCGUUGUUCGGAUUCAUUGGGCGUAAAGGGUGCGUAGGCGGCGCGAUAAGCCGGGGUGUGAAAUCUCGGAGCUUAACUCCGAAACUGCAUUCGAUACUGCCGUGCUUGAGGACUGGAGAGGAGACUGGAAUUUACGGUGUAGCGGUGAAAUGCGUAGAUAUCGUAAGGAAGACCAGUGGCGAAGGCGGGUCUCUGGACAGUUCCUGACGCUGAGGCACGAAGGUCAGGGGAGCAAACGGG